CGGUAAGUCCCUCCUUAAAUCCACGGGCUCAACCCGUGGGCUGGGAGGGAUACUGCCGGGCUAGGGGGCGGGAGAGGCCGAGGGUACUCCCGGGGUAGGGGCGAAAUCCGUUAAUCCCGGGAGGACCACCAGUGGCGAAGGCGCUCGGCUGGAACGCGCCCGACGGUGAGGGACGAAAGCUGGGGGAGCAAAGGGGAUUAGAUACCCCCGUAGUCCCAGCCGUAAACGAUGCGGGCUAGGUGUUGGGUGGGCCUAGAGCCCACCCAGUGCCGCAGGGAAGCCGUUAAGCCCGCCGCCUGGGGAGUACGGCCGCAAGGCUG
rnacentral:rRNA from 1 species